AGUGAACGCUGGCGGUAGGCCUAACACAUGCAAGUCGAACGGCAGCACAGUAGGAGCUUGCUCUUACGGGUGGCGAGUGGCGGACGGGUGAGGAAUACAUCGGAAUCUACUUUUUCGUGGGGGAUAACGUAGGGAAACUUACGCUAAUACCGCAUACGACCUACGGGUGAAAGCAGGGGAUCUUCGGACCUUGCGCGAUUGAAUGAGCCGAUGUCGGAUUAGCUAGUUGGCGGGGUAAAGGCCCACCAAGGCGACGAUCCGUAGCUGGUCUGAGAGGAUGAUCAGCCACACUGGAACUGAGACACGGUCCAGACUCCUACGGGAGGCAGCAGUGGGGAAUAUUGGACAGUGGGCGCAAGCCUGAUCCAGCCAUACCGCGUGGGUGAAGAAGGCCUUCGGGUUGUAAAGCCCUUUUGUUGGGAAAGAAAAGCAGCAGGUUAAUACCCCGCUGUUCUGACGGUACCCAAAGAAUAAGCACCGGCUAACUUCGU
rnacentral:rRNA from 1 species